rnacentral:rRNA from 1 species
AUGGACUCCGGCGCCAACAGCGUCGGCUCCGUCGGCGAGUCGCCGCCGCCGCUCUCCCCGCCGGGUCGCCCGGCCGCCAAGGGCCGCGGCCUCCGCCGGUGGCGCCGUAUCCCCCGCGAGCACCACGACGACGACGGCGGCUCCCCCGCGGGCCCCGUCGCCGCCUCAGCCGCCGCUGGCGCUGCUAGCGCUGAGGUCGACCUGGCGCAGCUCCAUAAGCGCCGUCUCCCCGUCGGCGCCGACGCGCCCAAGGGGAAGCAGGAGGCGGCGGCCGAGGAGGAUAGUCCGGUCGCGUCGGUCGAGUCCAGCUUCGUGCCGCCGGAGGCGCCUCCGUCGCCGUCCCCAGCUCCGGCUCUGACUCGUCUGGACCCGGAUCUUGGCCUCCUGAUCGCGUCCGCCGGCUUCUCGGUGGGCGCCGGCGGCGCCGACUCGGACAACAGCGACGACCGGACCAGCAAGUCCUCCACCGCGCUCCCGCGCCACGACUUCUCGCUCGCCGGCUUCGGCCGCGACCGCGAGAGGGCGCGGUCCCGCGCCCCCGGCGCCGCCGCUCACGCCAAGAACCUCCGUACCGCACGCGCUCGCGGCGCGGGUGCGCGCGCCGUCUCCGCGGCCUCCUCCACGGUGGAACCGGAGAACUCGCGCUCCAGCGUCGAGUCUGACCUCCGCAGCACUGGCGCUGCUCACGCGCGAAAAUCAAGCGCUGGCAUCAGCAGUAAUGGCGUUCACAAGUUUCUCUACACUGAUGGCGACCACAGCGACGAUGAAGCUCCAAGUGAGCACUUGCGAUCUGCAGCUGGAGGUUUCUAUAAGGAGAAUGGGAGUGCAGUAGGGAGAAUGGCAAUGGGGAAUGGUGAUUUGUAUGCCCAUGAUCACGGAUUUCAUGAAGGGAGCAUCGGCAAGGGUGAGAAUGGAGGGAUCCAUUCAGGUCUUGAUCCGUACGCCGACUCAAUUUCGAUGCUUCAGUCAGCACAAGAAGCACUUGAGAAUGAGCUCCAAAUGUUUGUGGAAAUCGGGAAAGAAAGCAGUGACAAUUCCACAGACAAUUCCGAUGAAAAUGAAUGGAGCAGUUCACCCAAUUGCGAAGAUUUUUCAGAAGAAAUAAGUGAAAAGUUGAAGCUUCUAGAGUCCAAGCUGGAAGAAGCUUCCCUUCUCAUCGAUGAGAAGGAUUCGAGAAUACUUGAACUUGAUACACUCAACAAGACAAAACCAGGGGAAACCGCACUAUACAAUAGCAAGCUACUUUCCCUACAGUCUGAAGUUGAUCAACUGCUCAUGGAGAAGAUGGAGGCCGAUAUCCAGUGCUUCAUCCUGAAAAGAGCUUCAGAAGCUUGGCAGCCCCAGACUGAGGGUCAGGGCGCUCUUCAAGAAGCUCAGAAGACUCUGUCCGAGGAUCACAAACAGCUGGAGGUCAAGCUUCGGCACACCGAGAACAGAGCGAGGACGCUAGAGGAUUUGGUGGAGAAGCUAGAGUCACAGUGCAAAGAGCUCUCAAACGCUUCAGAGGUCCUGAAGCUGCAGGCCGGAGCGAGUCGAGCUUCACUUUUUUGUUCGGUUCAGUUAGUGCUGCUGUGCAUCGCAGUGUGGACAUUCGUCGCGCGGUUCUUGCCCUCUCCCCCCGAAUUUGUACCUACUUGA